rnacentral:tRNA from 1 species
GCCUGGCUGGCUCAAUCGGUAGAGUGUAAGACUCUUGAUUUCAGGGUUGUGAGUUCAAGCCCCUUGUCAGGCA